AGGGCAGGUCUGCUGGGAGAGAGAGUUGCCUUGGACAGAUAGGCAGAGAGAAGCAGAGUCUCUAAGGAAAUGAAUCCCUAGGGUUGCCUUUGCUCCUCAAGGCUCUCCAAUUCCAGACCACCCGUAUCCUUAACAACACCUGUCCCCUUUUACCUAAGGUAACUGAGAUUUUUCUCAAUGGAAAGACCCAACUAUAACUAACAGUUUGCACAAGUUCUGUGUAGGCAGGUCAAGACUAUGUUUCAGUCCUAAAGAAAGGAGAUCUUGGCGUCUACAAAGAACUGGUUUGGUCUAAGAAAGCCUACCUCAUCAGAGCACCAUGGUUUACAAACGAUAGAUGCUUGAGAAAUACCUGCUUAACUCAACUCACUGAAAUGGAGCUUAAGUCAUAUUCCAGAAAGAACUCCAAGUCCUUUUGGAAGAGGUUUUCAAAGAAAAUCAACAACCUGAAUGGAUUUAACAUCUUUUGAUGUUAUUACCUGGGCAUUUUCACAAAUGCAAAUUGUUAACUGUUAAUUGUUAAA